rnacentral:misc_RNA from 1 species
UACGUAGGAGGCGAGCGUUGUCCGGAUUUACUGGGCGUAAAGGGCGAGUAGGCGGCCUGAAAAGUCUCAUGUGAAAUCUCCCGGCUUAACUGGGAGCGGUCAUGGGAAACUGACGGGCUUGAGGGCAGCAGAGGAAAGUGGAAUUCCGGGAGUAGUGGUGAAAUGCUUAGAUACCCGGAGGAACACCAGUGGCGAAGGCGGCUUUCUGGGCUGUCCCUGACGCUGAGGCGCGAAAGCAUGGGUAGCAAACCGG